AUGUAGUGGAUUCCAAAAUAGAUGAAAUGUGGUCUGAGGGACGCUAUGACUACGAACGACUUCCGAGAGAAAGAGUGCCUCCCCGAAGCCAUUCCAGUGAUGAAUCUGGCUACAGAUGGGCAAGAGAUAAUCAUUCCACAAGCUGGCAGCCUGACUUCAGGGACAUGAGAGAUGGCUUUAGAAGAAAAAGCUUCUACUCUUCCCAUUAUUCAAGAGAUCAGUCUCCCCAUAAAAGGGACGCUCCUUUCUUCAUAUAAUCACCCGCAGGCAGGAAGGACUCCCCACAGAGCAGAUCCGGAUCCAGUGUCAACAGUAGAAGCUAUUCUCCAGAGCACAGCAGGACGUACUCCAUCCAUCAGUCUCAGCAUAGAAGUGAAGAGAGAGCCAUCCAGUCUUUGAAAACUUCAAGAGAUGCUUCACCCUCAAGUUCAUCAGCAGUUUCUUCAUCCAAGGUGUUAGACAAACCCAGCAGGCUGACUGAGAAGGAACUUGCUGAGGCUGAAAACAAGUGGGCUAAUGAAACACUAGAAAAGUGGGACGGAAAUAACUUAGCUAAAAUUUCUGAGUUUGAGGCGGGAUCCACGGCACCCUUAUUUAUUGACCAGACUGAAGAACCCGAGUCAAAUACAACAGAUGGCCCAGAAAUGUAUGAAGAUAGCCAGCUUAGCAGCCGCUCUAAAGCCAUUGCCUCGAAAACCAAAGAGACAGAGCAGAUUUACCGACAAGACUGCGAGACUUUCAGAAUGGUGGUGAAAAUGCUGAUUGAAAAAGACCCUUCUUUAGAAAAGUCUAUACAGUUUGCACUGAGGCAGAACUUACACAAAAUAGGUGAGCGUUGUGUUGAAGAACUUAAGCAUUUCAUUACUGAGUAUGAUAAUUCUACUCAAGAUUUUGGAGACUCUUUUUAA